rnacentral:rRNA from 1 species
UGAAACUCAAAGGAAUUGACGGGGACCCGCACAAGCGGUGGAUGAUGUGGUUUAAUUCGAUGCAACGCGAAAAACCUUACCCACCUUUGACAUGUACGGAAGUCGCUAGAGAUAGCUUCGUGCUCGAAAGAGAACCGUAACACAGGUGCUGCAUGGCUGUUGUCAGCUUGUGUCGUGAGAUGUUGGGUUAAGUCCCGCAACGAGCGCAACCCUUGUCAUUUUGUAAUACAUUCAAUUGGGCACUCUAAUGAGACUGCCGGGGACAAACCGGAGGAAGGUGGGGACGACGUCAAGUCCUCAUGGCCCUUAUAGGUGGGGCUACACACGUCAUACAAUGGCUGGUACAAAGGGUUCCCAACCCGCGAGGGGGAGCUAAUCCCAUAAAACCAGUUGUAGUCCGGAUCGCAGUCUGCAACUCGAAUGCGUGAAGUCGGAAUCGGUAGUAAUAGUGGAUCAGAAUGUCACGGUGAAUACGUUCCCGGGUCUUGUACACACCGCCCGUCACGCCAUCGGAGCGGGUCUCGCCUGAAGUAGUUAGCCUAACCGCAAGGAGGGCGAUUACCACGGCGGGGUUCGUGACUGGGGUGAAGUCGUAACAAGGUAACCGU